CACGGGGGGAGCAAGCGUUGUUCGGAAUCACUGGGCGUAAAGGGCGUGUAGGCGGUCAAGUAAGUGGAAUGUGAAAGCCCCCGGCUUACCCGGGGAUCUGCAUCCCAAACUGCUUGGCUUGAGUACGGGAGAGGAUAGGGGAAUUCCUGGUGUAGCGGUGAAAUGCGUAGAUAUCAGGAGGAACACCGGUGGCGAAGGCGAGUCUCUGGACGAUUCCUGACGCUGAGGCACGAAAGCCAGGGGAGCAAACGGG
rnacentral:rRNA from 1 species